rnacentral:rRNA from 1 species
AUUGAUCGCUGGCGGCUGGCCUAACACAUGCAAUUCGAGCGAGUGGCGGACUCGUGAGUGAUGUCUGGGAAACUGCCUGAUGGCGGGGGAUAACUACUGGAGGCGGUAGCUAAUACCGCAUACCUUCCGAUGUGCCCAGAUGGGAGUAGCUUGUUUGUGUGGUAACGGCUAACCAAGGCGGCGAUCCCUAGCUGGUCGGGCAGGAUGACCACGCACACUGGAACUGAGACACGGUCCAGACUCCUACGGGAGGCAGCAGUGGGGAAUAUUGCACAAGGGGCGCAAGCCGGAUGCAGCCAUGCCGCGUGUAUGAAGAAGGCCUUCGGGUGGUAAAGUACUUUCAGCGGGGAGGCGUUACCCGCAGAAGAAGCGCCGGCUAACUCCGUGCCAGCAGCCGCGGUAAUAC